rnacentral:rRNA from 1 species
UACGUAGGGGGCAAGCGUUGUCCGGAUUUAUUGGGCGUAAAGAGCGUGUAGGCGGCUAUACAGGUCCGCUGUGAAAACUGGAGGCUCAACCUCCAGACGUCGACGGAAACCGUGUGGCUAGAGUCCGGAAGAGGAGAGUGGAAUUCCUGGUGUAGCGGUGAAAUGCGCAGAUAUCAGGAAGAACACCAAUGGCGAAGGCAGCUCUCUGGGACGGUACUGACGCUGAGACGCGAAAGCGUGGGGAGCGAACAGG